UAAGCCUGUGAAGGUGUGUCGUGAGGCAUGCUGGAGGUAUCAGAAGUGCGAAUGCUGACAUAAGUAACGAUAAAGCGGGUGAAAAGCCCGCUCGCCGGAAGACCAAGGGUUCCUGUCCAACGUUAAUCGGGGCAGGGUGAGUCGACCCCUAAGGCGAGGCCGAAAGGCGUAGUCGAUGGGAAACGGGUUAAUAUUCCCGUACUUGGUGUUACUGCGAAGGGGGGACGGAGAAGGCUAUGUUGGCCGGGCGACGGUUGUCCCGGUUUAAGCGUGUAGGUGUGUGUUCCAGGUAAAUCCGGUUCACUUUAACACUGAGGCGUGACGACGAGGCACUACGGUGCUGAAGCAACAAAUGCCCUGCUUCCAGGAAAAGCCUCUAAGCAUCAGGUAACAUCAAAUCGUACCCCAAACCGACACAGGUGGUCAGGUAGAGAAUACCAAGGCGCUUGAGAGAACUCGGGUGAAGGAACUAGGCAAAAUGGUGCCGUAACUUCGGGAGAAGGCACGCUGACACGUAGGUGAAGUGAUUUACUCAUGGAGCUGAAGUCAGUCGAAGAUACCAGCUGGCUGCAACUGUUUAUUAAAAACACAGCACUGUGCAAACACGAAAGUGGACGUAUACGGUGUGACGCCUGCCCGGUGCCGGAAGGUUAAUUGAUGGGGUCAGCGCAAGCGAAGCUCCUGAUCGAAGCCCCGGUAAACGGCGGCCGUAACUAUAACGGUCCUAAGGUAGCGAAAUUCCUUGUCGGGUAAGUUCCGACCUGCACGAAUGGCGUAAUGAUGGCCAGGCUGUCUCCACCCGAGACUCAGUGAAAUUGAACUCGCUGUGAAGAUGCAGUGUACCCGCGGCAAGACGGAAAGACCCCGUGAACCUUUACUAUAGCUUGACACUGAACAUUGAGCCUUGAUGUGUAGGAUAGGUGGGAGGCUUUGAAGUGUGGACGCCAGUCUGCAUGGAGCCGACCUUGAAAUACCACCCUUUAAUGUUUGAUGUUCUAACGUGGACCCGUGAUCCGGGUUGCGGACAGUGUCUGGUGGGUAGUUUGACUGGGGCGGUCUCCUCCUAAAGAGUAACGGAGGAGCACGAAGGUUGGCUAAUCCUGGUCGGACAUCAGGAGGUUAGUGCAAUGGCAUAAGCCAGCUUGACUGCGAGCGUGACGGCGCGAGCAGGUGCGAAAGCAGGUCAUAGUGAUCCGGUGGUUCUGAAUGGAAGGGCCAUCGCUCAACGGAUAAAAGGUACUCCGGGGAUAACAGGCUGAUACCGCCCAAGAGUUCAUAUCGACGGCGGUGUUUGGCACCUCGAUGUCGGCUCAUCACAUCCUGGGGCUGAAGUAGGUCCCAAGGGUAUGGCUGUUCGCCAUUUAAAGUGGUACGCGAGCUGGGUUUAGAACGUCGUGAGACAGUUCGGUCCCUAUCUGCCGUGGGCGCUGGAGAACUGAGGGGGGCUGCUCCUAGUACGAGAGGACCGGAGUGGACGCAUCACUGGUGUUCGGGUUGUCAUGCCAAUGGCACUGCCCGGUAGCUAAAUGCGGAAGAGAUAAGUGCUGAAAGCAUCUAAGCACGAAACUUGCCCCGAG
rnacentral:rRNA from 3 species